AUCCAACUGACGAGUCCAAAAUAGGACGGAACACGCAUCCUGGAU
rnacentral:hammerhead_ribozyme from 1 species